rnacentral:rRNA from 1 species
CCGGGGUUGAUCCUGCCGGAGGUUACCGUUAUCAGGUUCCGGCUUAGCCAUGCGAGGCGCGAGGUGCAAGACCUCGCCGGACUGCUCAGUAACACGUAGUUAAUCUAUUCUCAGCUGGAGGAUAAUCCCGGGAAACUGGGGCUAAUACUCCAUAGGCUCUGGAUGCUGGAAUGCACCAGAGCUGAAAGCUCCGGCGGCUGAGAGUGAGACUGCGGCGUAUCAGGUCGUAGUGAGUGUAACGUACUCACUAGCCUAUAACGCGUAGGAGACACGAGAGUGUGUGCUCCGAGAUGCACUCUGAGACAUGAGUGCAGGUCCUACGGGACGCAGCAGGCGCGAAACCUUUCCAAUUCGUUAACGCGUGAGAAGGGGAGCCUGAGUGGCUAUGCAAUGCAUAGUCUUUUCUUUAGUCCAAAAAGCUAGAGGAAUAAGUGGUGGGCAAGACAGGUGCCAGCCGCCGCGGUAAUACCUGCGCCACGAAUGGUAAUCGAUUUUAUUGGGUUUAGAGUGUCCGUAGCCGGCUUAGCGAGUCCCUGGUGAAAUCUGGCAGCUAACUGUCAGGAGUGCUGGGGAUACUGCUAGGCUUGAGAUCGGGAUAGGGUAAAGGUAUUCCACGUGUAGGAGUUAAAUCCUUUAAUCCGUGGAGGACCACCGGUUGCGAAGGCGUUUACCUGGAACGAGUCUGACGGUGAGGGACGAAAGCCGGGGGAGCAAAUGGGAUUAGAUACCCCAGUAGUCCCGGCUGUAAACGAUGUCCGUUUGGUGUCGCGUGCUUUACGUGAGUAUGCGGUGCCGGAACGUAAGUGUUAAACGGACCACCUGGGGAGUACGGUCGCAAGGCUGAAACUUAAGGGAAUUGGCGGGGGAGCACACAAGGGGUGGAGGCUGCGGUUCAAUUGGAUUCAACGCCGGG